AUUGAACGCUGGCGGCAGGCCUAACACAUGCAAGUCGAGCGAGCGGCGGACGGGUGAGUAAUGUAUGGGGACUGCCCGAUAGAUGGGGAUAACUACUGGAAACGGUGGCUAAUACCGCAUACUAUCGGAUAACCCAUAUGGGAUUAGCUAGUAGGUGGGGUAAAGGCGCACCUAGGCGACGAUCUCUAGCGGGUCUGAGAGGAUGAUCAGCCACACUGGGACGGGGAAACGGCCCAGACCCCUACGGAGGCAGCAGUGGGGAAUAUUGCGCAAGGGGGGCAACCCUGACGCAGCCAUGCCGCGUGGAUGAGGAGGGCCUUCGGGUUGUAAAGUUCGUUCGGUAGCGAGGCGUUAACUACAGAAGAAGCACCGGCUAACUCCGUGCCAGCAGCCGCGGUAAUUC
rnacentral:rRNA from 1 species